rnacentral:rRNA from 1 species
UACAGAGGUCCCAAGCGUUGUUCGGAUUCAUUGGGCGUAAAGGGUGCGUAGGCGGCGCGGUAAGUCGGAUGUGAAAGCCCUUGGCUCAACUGAGGAAGUGCAUCCGAAACUGGCAGGCUAGAGUACGAAAGAGGAUCGCCGGAAUUCCUGGUGUAGCGGUGAAAUGCGUAGAUAUCAGGAGGAACACCUGUGGUGUAGACAGCUUACUGGACCAUCACUGACGCUGAGACACGAAAGCGUGGGUAGCAAACAGG